AGUGAACGCUGGCGGUAGGCCUAACACAUGCAAGUCGAACGGCGGCACAGUAAGAGCUUGCUCUUACGGGUGGCGAGUGGCGGACGGGUGAGGAAUACAUCGGAAUCUACUUUUUCGUGGGGGAUAACGUAGGGAAACUUACGCUAAUACCGCAUACGACCUAUGGGUGAAAGCAGGGGAUCUUCGGACCUUGCGCGAUUGAAUGAGCCGAUGUCGGAUUAGCUAGUUGGCGGGGUAAAGGCCCACCAAGGCGACGAUCCGUAGCUGGUCUGAGAGGAUGAUCAGCCACACUGGAACUGAGACACGGUCCAGACUCCUACGGGAGGCAGCAGUGGGGAAUAUUGGACAAUGGGCGCAAGCCUGAUCCAGCCAUACCGCGUGGGUGAAGAAGGCCUUCGGGUUGUAAAGCCCUUUUGUUGGGAAAGAAAAGCAGCAGGUUAAUACCCCGCUGUUCUGACGGUACCCAAAGAAUAAGCACCGGCUAACUUCGUG
rnacentral:rRNA from 1 species